GAGCCCAUAGCUCAGCUGGUAGAGCAACUGACUUUUAAUCAGUAGGUCCAGGGUUCGAAUCCCUGUGGGCUCACCA
rnacentral:tRNA from 2 species